rnacentral:lncRNA from 1 species
AGUCUACCUCUUUUUGUCUUUUUCAUUGAUUUAAAUAGGGAAGUACAUGAAGCAAAUAACAGAAUAAGAAGGUGGAGUCAUUGACUCCUACAUUGCAGGAAACAUGGAAAUGUGGAGAACGUUACGGAAGACUCGUUCUCCUUAUUGAUAACAGAAAUAAAUAAAAGAUAUAUCUUUAAGAUUUAAAGAUAUUUGUUGUUUGGCUUACGUAGUCUUGUUGACUUCCUUGGCGCCAUUUCAAUAUCUUCAAAUGGAUCUUCUUGUAUCCUAUCAACACUCCCAUCCUCAGAAAGAACCUUGUCCUCAAGGUUCAUGUCGAAAGUAGGGAAGCUGGUCGCAAUCUAAUGCUUGUCUUCCCAGGUUGCUUCACUUACAGGUAAGUCAACCCAUUGAAUUAAUAUCUCCUGUAAUUCUUUUCCAUCUUUCUGAAUGUGACGUUGUUGCAGAGCUUUGGCUGGAGUUAAACGUAAGAGACCAGACUCCUUCAAGGGCGGUAGCUGAACUGAGGCAGGUUCAUCAUCGCCAAUUCGUUUCUUCAGUAGUGAGACAUGAAAGACUGGGUGGAUUCGUGCGGUUGUGGGAAGAGUGAGGCGGUAAGCGACUUGUCCGACGCGGGCUUCGACUUUGAAAGGGCCAAAGUAGCGGUGUGAGAGCUUCUGUGAAGUACGGCGAAUGACAGUCUUCUGGCGAUAUGGUUGCAGGCGUAAGAAAACCCAGUCACCAACCUGAAACUCCACAUCUCUUCUUUUGGUAUCUGCUAGCUGUUUCAUUCUGUUGUUCGAAGCUUCCAAGUGUUGCUUCAGUUCAUCUAACAACUCGUCCCGAUGCUGCAGUUGUUCAUAUAUUUCACCAACAAGAGUUGAGCCUAGUUCAUACCUUGGAAUGGCUGGAGGAGGGCGGCCGUAGAGAGCUUGGAAAGGAGUUGUUCCCAUGCUGGAGUGAAAGGUGGUGUUGUACCAAAAUUCGGCCCAGGGAAGGAAGGAACUCCAGUGCGUUGGACGUUGCUGGACAAAGCAGCGGAGGUACUGCUCGAUGCAGCGAUUCACGACCUCUGUCUGUCCAUCGGUUUGGGGGUGAUAGGCUGUAGACAUCUUCAGUGUUGUUCCCGAGAGGCGCCACAGUUCCUUCCAAAAGUGGCUGAGGAAGAUUGGGUCUCUAUCGCUGAGGAUUGUGCGAGGCAGUCCGUGCAAUUUGACAAUGUUGGCCACGAACUGUGUAGCGACGAUGGAAGCGGUGUAUGGAUGAGAAAGAGGUAUGAGAUGCGCGGACUUACUUAAUCUGUCGACAACUACCAUAAUUGAAGUGAAAGCACCAGAGCGAGGCAAACCGUCGACGAAGUCCAUUGAUAUGUCUUCCCAAAGAUGUGUAGGAACAGGUAAGGGCUGAAGAAGGCCGGCAGGAGACAUCGUUUGGGAUUUAGCACGCUGGCAAGUGUCGCAGUGAGAUAUGUAAUCCACAACGGUCUUAUGCAUCGAGGGCCAAUAGAAGCGAUGAGAGAGACGUUUGAAUGUGCGCAAGACACCUGAAUGCCCACCAAGAGUAGUAUUAUGAUGCUCGUACAAAAGUUGUUUGAUAAGAGGGGAACCUGGUGGAAUCACAACCCUGUUGUUGUAGCAGAGAAGGCCGUCUCUCCAAGAGUAAGGGAGACCCGGUUUCUCGUGUGCCGCUGCUCCAAUGCGAAUGAGGUAUGGGUCAGAAGAGGUCAGCGCGCGAAGAUCAGUCCAAAGUGAUGUCUGUGGGGCUGAGAUUGCGUUUAAUAGAGGGCUAUCUGGUACGCGAGACAAGGCAUCAGCUGCAGAGUUUGUUUUGCCUGGCUUGUACACAAUGUCAUAAUCAUACCCCACCAGUUUAGCCAUCCACUUCUGCUGCUCGGGUGUGAGUAUUCGCUGUUCCAGCAUGUAGCGAAGGCUCCUUUGGUCUGUCUGGAUGGUGAACUUGCGUCCCAAGAGGUAAGGUCUCCACGUUCGUAUAGCUAGGAUGAUUGCUAACAUUUCUCUCGCAUAGGUGGACCAAGCCUUCUUUGUGACGCCUAAAGAACGACUCAUAAAGGCAAUAGGUUGGCCAUUCUGAGAGAGGACCGCACCAAUACCAUCACCGGAAGCAUCAGUCUCAAUCACGAAAGGGUUGGAGAAGUCAGGGAGGGCCAACGUAGGGGUGGAUGUCAUUGCCUCCUUCAACUUAUUGAAGGCAGUGUCGGCGUCGGAGCUCUAAGUGAACUUGCCUUUGCGAAGGAGGUUGGUAAGCAGCCGUGCGAUGAGCCCAUAGUCUCGUACGAACUUGCGGUAGUAUCCAGUGAGGCCAAGGAAUCCACGGAGCUCAGUAACAGACGUCGGAACCGGCCAAUCGGUCAUAGCUUUGACCUUAGACUGGUCCACUGUGACGCCUGUGUUGGAAAUAAUGUGGCCGAGGUACUCGAGCUCUCUCUUCCCGAAUUCACACUUCUUGAAUUUCACCGAGAGUUGGUGAUGUUGGAUUAAGCUCAAUACCUCUCGAACAUGCUGCAGGUGGGACUCCCAUGUCGGACUGUAAACGAGGAUGUCAUCGAAAAAGACGAGGACAAAUUUCCGCAUGUAAGGCCGGAAAAUAUCAUUCAUGAGCGAUUGAAACGCUGAUGGGGCGUUGCAGAGGCCGAAGGGCAUGACAAGGUAUUCAAAAUGCAUGUGAUGAGUACGGAACGCCGUUUUGUGGAUGUCGGUUGUGCUCAUUCUGACCUGGUGGAAACCGGCGGUGAGAUCGAGUUUUGUGAAGUAAGCCGAACCAUGGAGCUCGUCUAGCAUAUCCUCCACCGUAGGAAUAGGGAAGCGAUCCUUGAUAGUGGCGGAGUUAAGAGCUCUGUAAUCGGUACAGAACCUCCACGAGCCAUCUUUCUUCUUGACGAGUAGUACAGGGGAGGAGAACGGGCUAGAACUGCUGCGGAUGAUACCUGCGUCGAGCAUUUCAGUGACCUGUCGCUCGAUCUCAUCUUUCUGGAAGUAGGCGUAGCGGUAGGGUCGAACGUUGAUAGGAUAUGUUCCUUCUUUGAGCGUGAUAUUGUGUUCGAUGUCGCGAGGAGGGGGAAGACCUGUCGGACACUGAAAGAUCCCGUUGAAUUCGUCCAGAAUUACUCGCAAAUCGUCGUUAAGCUCCUUUUGCUCCGAAGAGAUCUCCGGCGAAUAAAGAGCGAAGAGAUGGUGGCCUUGUCUGGCUUCUUUCUCGAGCUCUUCUUUUGUUGUGGGCCUUAUUGUAUCGCGUGGAAGCCCAGUUAGUGUGUGGGUUUCACCCUCCCAGUCUAGCUGUAAUGUUUGGGCUUUCCAGUCUGUGAGGACCGGCCCAAGACUCUGGAGCCAUUGUAUCCCCAUCACCAAAUCAAGGCCCACUAAGGGGAGAGCGUAGAGAGUGAUUCGGAAACUAGCGCCGCCGAUCUGUACCCUGACGUCGUCAAACCUCCGUCGACAGCGAAGUGGAGAUCCGUUAGCAACCCGAACGUCGAAAGGUUUGGUUUGCGUUGCUGGAAGCUGUAAUUCGGAUGCCAUCUUUUCACUGAUGAAGUUGUGUGUUGAACCGCUAUCAACUAGAGCCUGAAGUUUGUGGUUGGUGAUGACGGCGAGGAGACGCAUUGUGGUCGGAGAAUCCCAACCAGAUAAGGCGUGGAGUGUAAUUUCGGGUGCAGGAUCAUCCUCUUCGUCCUCCUCAUCGGUCUCGGUAUCCUCGAUCCCUUCCAUGAUGAAGAGUUGCGGUUUAGCGCACUUAUGACCCGGAGAGUACUUCUCGUCACAACUGAAGCAAAGGCCCAGACUGCGCUUUCUCCUCAUCUCCUCCCAGCUGAGUUUGCGGGGUGUUUGCACAGUUUGUGGUGAUGUCGCGGCAGGUGCUGAAGCUGAAGCUCGGGAAUUGGAAGUGGUGAAUGAUUGGGUUCGUGGUGUGAAGCGCUUUUGUUUCUGCAACUGAUCGUCUUUCAUUCUAGCCAAGUUGAUGACUUCUUGUAAUGUCUUUGGCUGGAACAUACGUACAUCGUCAGCGAUUGUAUGGUGUAGUCCUCCUAGGAAAGUUCCGACAAGCGCUUCCUCGGACCAGUUAGUCACUUUGUUGCGUAGUCUUUCGAAAGCACGUUGGUAUUCGCGGAACGUCCCCGUCUGGCGUAUUUUUGACAGCUCCUCAUGGAAGUUUGUGCUACGAGUUGGACCGAACCGUGUCCACAAUUCGCCUUCGAACGUCUCCCAUGUUAUCAGAGUCUGAUCAAUGCCGAGCGCUCGUACCGUCGCUUGCCACCACUCGUUAGCUUCCUCCGUAAGAUGAUAGGAGGCAUAGUUCACCCUCUGGUUGCCGGUCAUAUCAUGAAAAGCGAAGUAUUGAACUGCUUUAGUGAGCCAUUCUGUAGGAUCUCCAUCACUGAACCGUGGAAGUUCGAUCUUAACAUGUCGACGUUGGUUAGGGGCAGCUGCAAAAGGGUUGACAGCAUCGGUACGGUUUGGAUUUGUGACGUGAUGUGGUGGGGGAAUCGUGUCGUCUCUGGGAACCUGUGAUGCGCGCUGGAUCCGUGUUCACGGGUGCCGACGAUAAGCUCACGCAUUUCCUUCAGUGAGUCAGCCAUCGUUCGUUGGAAAGAAUUCUCCAAGCCCCGAAUCCUAUCGUUAAUGCCGGUCGUUAGGUUGAGGAGUUCAUCUUGGACCAUUCCCAUGCUUGAUUCGAGAUCCUCAAGUCGUUCGUGGUUGUUGGCCAUGGUCUCUUUCCAUAGAUUUUGAGCCACAGCCUUGCUUUUUUGUGAGUUUUUGGUGAUGCGAGGCGGAAUUGUGAUUGAGUGGGGUUGUAACGGUGGGGGAAAAAAAAAUUUAGGUUUCUUGCUAGACGUUGAUUCCUGAGAAUGCCGUCAAGAAGAAUCAAGAGAAAAAAGGGUAGCUCUGAUACCACUGAUAGGUCCCUUGCCAAAGGUUAUCAAUGUUGAUCGUAAGUAACAAGAACACAAGUAGUUUUGGGUAGAUAAGUCUACCUCUUUUUGUCUUUUUCAUUGAUUUAAAUAGGGAAGUACAUGAAGCAAAUAACAGAAUAAGAAGGUGGAGUCAUUGACUCCUACAUUGCAGGAAACAUGGAAAUGUGGAGAACGUUACGGAAGACUCGUUCUCCUUAUUGAUAACAGAAAUAAAUAAAAGAUAUAUCUUUAAGAUUUAAAGAUAUUUGUUGUUUGGCUUACGUAGUCUUGUU